GAAAUUACAUAUUUUUGCCUCACAUCAGUUCUGGUCCACCUCACAGCUACGAUGUUUCCAUCAUGUCCAGCUCUACAUGGCAGAGAGACG